rnacentral:pre_miRNA from 1 species
GCCAACAAGUUCGUUCGGAUUUUUCCAUAUGAGGUUAUGCGAAAACCUGAACAAACAUUUUGGC